rnacentral:misc_RNA from 1 species
AAGUCGUAACAAGGUUUCCGUAGGUGAACCUGCGGAAGGAUCAUUAACACUUUUUAAUACCAUACUCUACGGGGGAAAAGAAGAAGAAAUGCCUAAAUUUCCUUUUAGGUUAUUCUCUCUCUUUUCUCUCUUUUUUUUUCACCCCGAAAAAAAGCGAACAUGUUGGUGGGAUGAAUCAAGUUGUGGAUCACAACUUGAUUUAUUUCCCGCACUUUUUCCUUUUCCUUUUUUUAUUAUUAUCAUUCACCACAUGAACUUUUUCUAAGACUGAACUUUUUUUUUUAAUUUCUUUUGGGGUCUUUUCCCCCAAAAAAUAAUUAAAAAACUAAAAACUAAAAAACUUGAAAAAACAACUCUUAGCAACGGAUAUCUUGGUUCUC